AUUGAACGCUGGCGGCAGGCCUAACACAUGCAAGUCGAACGAGUGGCGGACGGGUGAGUAAUGUCUGGGAAACUGCCUGAUGGAGGGGGAUAACUACUGGAAACGGUAGCUAAUAUCGCAUACCAUCAGAUGUGCCCAGAUUGGAUUAGCGAGUUGGUGGGGUAACGGCUCACCAAGGCGACGACCCCUAGCUGGUCUGAGAGGAUGACCAGUCACACUGUAACUGAGAAACGGUCCAGACUCCUACGGGAGGCAGGAGUGGGGCAUAUUGCACAAGGGGCGCAAGCCUGAUGCAGCCAUGCCGCGUGUAUGAAGAAGGCCUUCGGGUUGUAAAGUACUUUCAGCGGGGAGGCGUUACCCGCAGAAGAAGCACCGGCUAACUCCGUGCCAGCAGCCGCGGUAAUUC
rnacentral:rRNA from 1 species